GUCAAAAAUAAAAAUAUGUCGUGGGUCGGACGGUGUGGGACGCCCUGAAUCUGUUCUGUAGCCUACUGGAUGCUUCGAGGCAGGUUUCUAUAGUUUUGGGAGGUAGAUGCUGAGGACCUGAGCUGAGUGAGCGCUUCUCAACCAUCACUUUCAUCCUCUGCAAGUUCAGCGGAGACGACACACUUUCUCUGACGCCGCGGGCCAAUUGCAUCUUUGAACUCCAGGGCUUUAACAAGUUAAUAUCGGAGGACAGGGCAGUACGGACAGCAGCUAGGAAGCAAAGUAGGGGAGAGAUGGGGGAACAGGAUCAGAAAGGACCACGAGCCAGAACUCAAACUCUGUUGCCCGAAGCACAGCCAGGCAAUAUGUUGAAGCUGCUGCUUUGAUUUUUAAAGUCUUCAUUUUUUUUAUUAAACUUGGAGAAAAAAGUCACUAGUUUGUCAUGUGAUCGCCAAAUGCAUUUACCUUGCUUAGUGAAUUAAAUAUUAAUGGCAUA